AUUCUGUGUUGUGGACACUUCCGCAAGAGAUCAUUCAAUCACUCCCAUGUCUCAAACAAGGAUUCAAGCUAAAUCUGAAUAAACGACGAUAUCUCAUUAUGAAGCUU